GACGUUUUCGUGUCCGUCUCCGCGGCAGUGUCCCGCGCGAACGGUCGCCGAACACUCGAAACAAUACUUUAAUGCCGUCGUCGUUUUCGCAUAGGGCUCGGAUUUCAAACGUAAACGCGCACGUGCAUCGUAUUCGCGCUGCUACUCGAUAAGUUAAUAUUUGGGUAAGUGAUCAAAAUCGGUUUCGCGCGGUUCUCAGCAAUAAGUAUAGUAUUUUUUUUUCUUCCGUUUUUCGGGUUCGAUUCGCGGGUAUUUCUUUUUCUUUUUUUUCUCCCCCGAUAAUUCCGGUUUUUCUCGCAUACAUUUCGACAAUACACUCGAACUGAACACGACAAUACAUUUUUCAACUUGUACGCACUUUCAAUGUCUAAAGUUAAACAAAUCGCAUUUAAAAUACACAUCAUAUCCAUUGUAUUCAAG